rnacentral:rRNA from 1 species
CAUGCAAGUCGAACGAUAAGCUAGACUUCGGUUUAGUGGACAGUGGCAGACGGGUGAGUAACGCGUGGGAAUCUACCUUUGAGUGGGGAAUAACAAUUAGAAAUGAUUGCUAAUACCGCAUAUACCCUCCGGGGGAAAGGCUUCGGCCGCUCUUAGAUGAGCCCGCGUACGAUUAGUUUGUUGGUGAGGUAAAGGCUCACCAAGACUACGAUCGUUAGCUGGUUUGAGAGGAUGAUCAGCCACACUGGGACUGAGACACGGCCCAGACUCCUACGGGAGGCAGCAGUGGGGAAUAUUGGACAAUGGGCGAAAGCCUGAUCCAGCCAUGCCGCGUGAGUGAAGAAGGCCUUAGGGUUGUAAAACUCUUUCGACAGGGAAGAUAAUGACGGUACCUGUAUAAGAAGCUCCGGCUAACUCCGUGCCAGCAGCCGCGGUAAUACGGAGGGGGCAAGCGUUGCUCGGAAUUACUGGGCGUAAAGCGAGCGUAGGCGGUUAGUCAAGUUGGUGGUGAAAGCCCGGAGCUCAACUCCGGAACUGCCAUCAAAACUGACUUACUUGAGAUUGGUAGAGGAAAAUGGAAUUCCCUAGUGUAGAGGUGAA